rfam:Haemonchus contortus, ISE/inbred ISE, WGS project CAVP01000000 data, contig: Hcontortus_11246
AGCCGAAAUUUGAAGUAGAGCAGAUUAGUAUGGUCAGCUGAUCCUACUAAUCUACUCUAACUUCAAGUUUGUGCUC